rnacentral:rRNA from 1 species
GUAUGCCUAACACAUGCAAGUCGAACGAGGUAGCAAUACCUAGUGGCGGACGGGUGAGGAAUACGUAGGGAUCUGCCUUUAAGUGGGGGAUAACCCGGGGAAACCCGGAUUAAUACCGCAUGAUCUCGCAAGAGCAAAGUGGGGGAUCGCAAGACCUCACGCUUUUAGAGGAACCUACGUCGGAUUAGCUUGUUGGUGAGGUAAUGGCUCACCAAGGCGACGAUCCGUAACUGGUCUGAGAGGAUGAUCAGUCACACCGGAACUGAGACACGGUCCGGACUCCUACGGGAGGCAGCAGUG